AAUGAACGCUGGCGGCGUGCUUUACACAUGCAAGUUGAGCGAGGCGGCCCGCAAGGGCUAGUCGAGCGGCGAACGGGUGAGUAACGCGUGGAUUAUCUGCCCUGAGGUGGGGAAUAACCAGGGGAAACUCUGGCUAAUACCGCAUGAUACCGAGAGGUCAAAGGGGGCUCGCAAGGGCUCUCGCCACAGGAGGAGUCCGCGUUCGAUUAGCUAGUUGGCAGGGUAAUGGCCUACCAAGGCGACGAUCGAUAGCCGGCCUGAGAGGGUGAUCGGCCACACUGGAACUGAGACACGGGUCCAGACUCCUACGGGAGGCGGCAGUGGGGAAUUUUGCGCAAUGGGCUAACGCCUGACGCAGCAACGCCGCGUGGAGGAUGAAGGUCUUUGGGAUUGUAAACUCCUGUCGGCAGGGAAAAAGCAACCGACCUAAUACGUCGGGAAGUUGAUUGUACCUGCGGAGGAA
rnacentral:rRNA from 1 species